UCUCUUUUUCGCGUUAUUUCCGAGUCCUUCCGGUUUCGCCGAGAUGGUGCCCCCGGUGCAGGUGUCGCCGCUCAUCAAGUUCACCCGGUACUCGGCGCUGCUGGUUGGGAUGCUGUAUGGGAAGAAGCGAUAUGACUACCUAAAGCCUGUUGCUGAAGAGGAAAGGAGAAUAGAGAGUGAAGAGAAAAAGAAGCGUGAAGAAUUGGAACGAAUUGCGAAAGAACUGGCAGAAGCCAGUGAGGACUCUAUACUGAAAUGAACAAAUUGCAUUGGACCUCAUUUUCAUCUUCAGCAAAAUCUGAAGCCUUGAAUUAGCUAUAUUCCUGUUUUCUUCACUGCAAGGUGUGGCUAACGUGCUGAGAAUAAGGCAACUGAGCAAAAUUUAACUGUUGUUGUUAACUCCCUGCCUUUUUUGCUGUACUGUCCAUCUUCUGCAGAGAGGCAUUAUAUUGUUUAGAUAACCACUGUAAAGGUAGAUGAAUUCCCUUGCUUUCAAUAAACAUACAUUGAACAUA